rnacentral:rRNA from 1 species
UGGGGAAUAUUGGACAAUGGGCGCAAGCCUGAUCCAGCCAUGCCGCGUGAGUGACGAAGGCCUUAGGGUUGUAAAGCUCUUUUUGGCGGGGAAGAUAAUGACGGUACCCGCAGAAUAAGCUCCGGCUAACUUCGUGCCAGCAGCCGCGGUAAUACGAAGGGAGCUAGCGUUGUUCGGAAUCACUGGGCGUAAAGCGCACGUAGGUGGGCAGUUAAGUCAGGGGUGAAAGCCCGAGGCUCAACCUCGGAAUUGCCUCUGAUACUGGCUGUCUAGAGUUCGAGAGAGGUGAGUGGAAUUCCUAGUGUAGAGGUGAAAUUCGUAGAUAUUCGCAGGAACACCAGUGGCGAAGGCGACUUGCUGGACUUAUGGUGACGCUGAGACGCGAAAGCGUGGGGAGCAAACAGGAUUAGAUACCCUUGUAGUCCCUGAGCGGGCUGGCAAGGCGCAU